rnacentral:lncRNA from 1 species
UUUUUUACCUGCUACUAAUUUCUUUUUGUUGGGCAUGUCUACACGUGCUCAACGCAUCCGUUCUACUUCGCCGGAAGUCCGGUUGCACCGUCCUCCCACCUGGCCCUCGCCAAUUGCAGAUAAUUGGAAACAUAUUAGCCCUCGGUGACAAGCCCCACCGAACACUUGCUAAACUCUCACAAACUUAUGGACCUUUAAUGACCCUCAAGCUUGGUAGGAUAACCACAAUAGUCAUCUCCUCUCCGAAUAUUGCCAAAGAAGCAUUACAGAAACAUGACCAAGCCUUGUCUAGCAGAACAGUCCCAGAUGCUCUUCGUGUACACCACAGAAACUCAAUCUUAUGGUUGCCUGCGUCGACUCAUUGGAAAUUUCUCAGAAAACUCACUGCCACACAAAUGUUCACUUCGCAAAGGCUUGAUGCCAGCCAAGCCCUCCGUGGAAAGAAAGCUCAAGAAAUGCUAGAAUAUGUUCAUGAAAAUUGCAACAACGGACACGCUGUUGACAUUCGUCGAUCUGUUUUCACAACUUCCCUUAAUUUAAUUUCAAACACCUUCUUCUCUCUUGAUAUAGCCAAUUACAAUUCUGAUUUGUCUCAAGAAUUCAGCGAUCUCGUGGUUGGUGUCACGGAACAAAUUGGCAAGCCAAAUAUUGCCGACUAUUUCCCAAUACUUCGAUUAGUAGAUCCACAAGGUGUAAGACGAAAGACGAAUAAUUAUUUGAAAAGAUUAACUCAAAUUUUUGAUAGUAUCAUCAACGAGAGGACACGACCACGUUCUUCUUCGGUUGCAUCCAAGGCAAGCCAUGAUAUACUUGAUGCCCUGCUGAUUCUAGCCAAAGAAAACAAUACUGAAUUGAGCUCCACUGACAUACAGGUUUUGCUUAUUGUAAGUAUUGAGAUUAGAUUAUCUAAUUGAUAAUUAUGACCAAGUUUUUCUGCACACUAAACUUCAGUUCAGAAAUUAAUUGUCUUACGUGUUUACAUCAGGAUUUUUUCAUUGGGGGCACUGACACUACCUCAAGCACAGUAGAGUGGGCAAUGACAGAGUUAUUACUGAACCCUGAUAAAAUGGUCAAAGCCAAAAAUGAGCUCCAACAAGUCGAAGGACCAGUUCAAGAAUCAGACAUCUCCAAGUGUCCUUACCUUCAAGCAAUAGUCAAAGAGACAUUUCGGCUGCACCCACCAGUUCCACUCCUGCUGCCCCGUAAAGCCGUAUCCGAAGUAGAGAUGCAAGGCUUCACAGUGCCAAAAAAUGCUCAAAUACUAAUCAAUAUUUGGGCAAUAGGAAGAGAUCCAGCCAUAUGGCCAGAUCCUAAUUCGUUCAAGCCUGAAAGGUUCCUAGAAUGCCAAGCUGACGUGAAAGGAAGAGAUUUUGAGCUAAUUCCAUUUGGAGCAGGAAGAAGGAUUUGCCCUGGAUUGCCUUUGGGCCACAAGAUGGUGCAUUUGACGUUGGCAUCUCUCAUCCACUCUUUUGAUUGGAAGAUUGCUGAUGACUUGACACCAGAGGAUAUAGACAUGAGUGAAACGUUUGGGCUUACAUUACAUAAGAGUGAGCCUCUCCGGGCUAUACCCAUGAAAACGUGAACUUAUUUCUCUGCAAUGUUACCAUGGCCUCUGGGACGAGGUAUGAGAUAUUACGCUCUAUUCCCAUUGCUGGAUUUGGACAGGUACGCCUUGUAACUAACCGGGAGAACUGUUUCCCGAAAUUAGAAAUAUAAAAUAAAAAACAGAGCUGUCCAAAUUUUAGAUUUAAUGUAGAUUGGUGGUUUUAGAUGUCGAUCGUAUUGGUUGUAGUAAAGGCUCUAUUUGUGGGUUAUGCGUUGUUAAUUGGAUGAUAAUUCAUUGGUUGUAGUAAAGUUUUUGGGGUUUUUAUUUGUGGGUUAUGCGUUGUUAAUUGGAUGAUAAAUCAGCUAGCAACUUUUGAUGAUUUUCAAUUUUAAUGACAAGAAAAAAUUUCCGCCCCCCUGCCUUCACAUUUGUUUCUUUGGUAUGCCUGCCGCGGUAUAAUUUGGUAGAUGAAAGAGUAAAACCUAGUUAUACUUUUCGUAUUGGGCUUUUACUGUGAUACAGAAUUUCUAAGAACAUGAAAUUCAAACAUCACAGCGAGUCUGGGUAAAACAUGGUCUGGACGUCAUCAGUUUCGAAAUACAGUUUUUCUUUUGGCUUGGCGGGAUUCAUCCGCAGAUAUUGUUGGACGAAACUGCUGAAGCAACUGUGGAUGCAACCAUGGAAGAUGCUGAUUUAUUUAUCUGCACGUGGGUCAGGGAGCUCAUCGUCAGCCCUGUCCUCAAACACGUAAUCGACCACGAUGUCGCAUCAGUUCAAACUGUAUUGUUUUAUGUUUAGAGAAAAAUGAAAAAAUGGAAAUCAUUUUCAAAUCAAACCAGUUCUAGGAUAGUCUUUACACAUUUGAACACUUUUGAAUUAUCAUGAAAAAACUUGGUGACACUUUUCUGAUUUCUUCUAGAUUUAAUGGCUUCCAUUUCUUUCUGAAGUAACACCAUCAUGAUGCAAAAGAUUUGUUUCUCAAUUAUCGUUAAUUGAGAAAAAGCUCAUUCCUGGAAUACCUAUAUUAUCACUAUGGAACCACAUUUUGAAAAUGUAUCUACAAUCGACUUGGCAAUACCUGUAUCAAACACCUUAAACCAUGUUUUCUUUGUAUAUCCAUGGAUCAAGCUGCAAACUUGAUUUCCUUAUAGUCGAAUUUGUAGGCCAUCCAUCUUCCGAUUCUUCUUCGAUUAUGAAGUACCAAACCCAACUUCUUUUUACUUGAAGCAAAAAGGACUGGCUUUUUUCUUUUUAAGGUUCAACUGGCUUCUAGAAAAGGAAAAGCACUGGGAAGAGCAGCCUAUGCAGGUGAGGGCAAUCAAGGCUUUAGGAAAAGGGUUUGAUUUGAGUAGUGAUUUCGGAUUGAAAUUUGAAAAAAUAAUGAGCAGUAAUAACGAAAGGCUGGUGCUUUUGGAUGAGAAUAACAGAAGGAAGGUUGUGUUUCUGAGGGCCCUACUGUUUCCAAGUAACUAAAUUUAUCUCAGGCAUUUCAUCAAAUAGAAGCAUAGCAUCACCUGAAACCCCCAUUUAAAAGAGCAGUUUGUACAUAAACAUGACAUUAAAAACCCACUUUGAAUGUGAGACCAUGAAGAAAAUCACCAGCUAGUGGUGGUGGUGGAGGCUUUGUUGAUGGUGGUGGUGGAAUGUCCUUAACAAAACUAACUUCCCAACUGACUAUAGCCACCUAACUAACUAACAAUCACGUGUGAAAAUAAAAAAUCCAAAUAACUAACUGCAUUAGUUGUUGCCGCUAGUUCUAGCUUUCUGUCUUCAAUACAAGAAUUCGUGCUAAAAUCUAGAAAUUGCUCAUUCAAUUCUUUCGAACCUUCCCCUGUUGCAUCCUCUUGAAACAGAUGGAACCAUUUGACCAGUCCCAUUACCACAUCUUUAUUACCCGUCUUCAUGAUUUUUCUAUCCAAAAUUGCCACUAGUUGCACCUUGAAACGACCAUGCUCAUCCAUCCUUGGUAAUUCUAUAGCCACUACAGCACUACCUCCCACCUUUUUCUUAAGAAAUGAGACACGAAACACUGGCAAUUAUAGCUUGUAGGCUAUUGGCCCAACCUUUUGUAUAAUUAUAAAAGGGCUAUGAAACCUGGGAUUCAGCUUGAUGCUCCUUAAAGCUACACCUGUUUGUCUAUAAGGUUGUAGCUUAAGAAAUACUUGGUCUCUUAGUUGAAAUUCCCUUUCGAACCUGUUUUUGUCUGUGAUCUGUUUCAUUCUAUGUUUGGCUGCCUCAAGCUGAGUCUUUAACACUUGAUCCAUGUCGAAUCUUUGUUGAGUCAUAUCUUUCAUAACAGCUACUACAGUAACUUCUUGUGCAAUUAGCUCUCUUCUGGGAGGAUGAUAGCCAUACAAGGCUUUGAUUAAUGGACUCAUCCUUAUAGAAUAAUGAUAACAUAAAUUGCACCACCGUUAAGCUAAUCAUAGCCAAUAAAUUCAUUUCUUAGGAUUAUGCAUAGUCAUGUAUCUCAAGUAAAUCUUCAAACACUGAUUGACUUGCUCAGAUUGGCCAUUAGUUUGAGGAUGAUAAGAGAAGCUUAUUAGCAGCUUGACCCCUGGUAGUAUAAACAAUUCUUUACAAAAUAAACUUGUGAAAAUCAUAUCUCUAUCAAUAACAAUAAAAGUUAAUAAUCCAUGGAACUUAUAGAAAUGAUCCAAAAAUAGUUGAGUAACAUCCUGAGCUGUGAAAGGAUGUUUAAGAGUAAUAAAUGCCCAUGCUUGAUGAAUUUGUCAAUGAUCACCAAUAUGGUAACCUUCCUUUGUGAUUAUGGAAAUCCCUCUAUAAAAUCCAUUGCAAUGUUUCUUCAUGUGCCUUCUAGAGGUGGUAAAGGCUGCAGAAGUCCAGGAUAGGCUACCCAUUCUAGUUUAGCUUGAUUACAUAUAACACACUUAUUCACGUUCUUUUUAACUAGAGUUUUCAUGGAAGGCCAAUAGAACAUAGUUCUCAGUCUUUCAUAAGAAUUUUAUAUGCCAGCAUGCCCUCCAAUAUACAAAUAAUGUGCAGCAUUAACCAUUCUUUCCAUUAAAUUCUCUUCCCAAUCACUAUCCUAUGCUUAUACCUUGAUACGCCUUCUGUGAAUAUAUAGUCUAACCAAUUAUGAUUAUUCAACAUCUUGUCAGACAUAAUCCUCUACAAUUAUUGAUCAUUUCCAUAAGAUUCUUUGACCUCUUCAUACCAUGCUGGUAUUAGUGCUGAGAUUGCCCUUAGAAUUCUAGAAUCCUUGUCAACCUCCCCAUCCAUAGCUUAUAAUUUUUUUUCCUCCAAUAGAUAUGGAUAAAACAUCAGCCACAACAUUCUCUUUUCCUUUUCUAAACAGAAUUUGAUACCUCAACCUCAGUAAUUUAGUCAGCCCUUUCUUUUGCAACUGAAUAUAGAUUUUCUAUUCCAUCAAAUAUUUUAAACUCUCAUGGUUAGUUUAGAUGAUGAACUGAUCAUUUUCCAAAUAAUCCAUCCAUUUGUCCACAGCCAUCAAUAUUGCGCCAUUUUUUGCUAAAAAAGGCUAGUGGUCAUCCUUUCUUGAUGAGGAUUGCUCCAAGUCCAAUUAAGCAUGCAUCAAUUUCCAACACAAAUGCAUAUUUAAAAUUUGGUAGUGUCAAAAUAGGAGUCUUGCACAAUAUUUCUUAUAAAAAUUCUUGUUCUACCGUAUCCGUUGCUUUUGAAUAUCAACCUUAAUUCCUUGCAAUUCCUGAUGAAUUUCUUGUAUUUUUUCAUCAGUUAUUCGACUAUGUCCUUCCAAUGCUCUUACUUUGUUGUUUUCCACCGUUGUCUACUAUUAAAUGAUGAAAUAAUGUAUUUAAGAAUGGAGGUUGAAGAAUAAAAAAGAAAGAAAUAAGGAGAGAGAAAACUAUAAAGCUACAGAAAUAAUGACAAUCUUUUAUUACUUGAUCAUCAUGUUUCUUACAAUUCUUCCUUUAUACAAUUCCAUUUCAACUAACUACCCAUUAACUAAAAAAACUAAUUGUCAACUAACUUCCCAGAUGACUAUAACUACAUAACUAACUUACAAUCACGUGUGAAAAUCAGAAAUCCAAAUAAAAAGUUCUUGGUAAAUGGUAAGGGCAUUUUUUGUUGCACUAUUUAUAUAUCUAUACUGAAGGUAUACAUUGAAGCUCUUGGUGGUUGGCUAUCCAAGUUUUCUUCUCCAAAAGUUAAAUCUUACUUUAGUGGCAACUCUUUAAUCUUCCUUAUAGAAUAAAUCGACCACUAUUGCUAGUAAUUGUCAUGACUGGUUAGUGUCGUGAUGUGCACGACGUCAAAUGAUGGGUUUUUCUGCUAGAUUGAAGGGUUUUAGGAUUAAUUAUAAAAUUAUGAUUUUCAAGGAGUCGCCACCUUGUAUCAUGGUCACUAGAAAACUUAAUGGUCUGCGAGAGUUUGGGUAAAGGGACUAAUUGUGCAAGGGAAAAACAUAUUACCCCCAGUGAACCAUACCUAUGGUAAGUUGCAUUAUUGAUUGGUCCUUUUGCUAGGUCGUGUUUAUAUUCGUUUGUAUUUUCUAAGAUUCAAGGAAAAUCUCUUUUCGUGAGGAAGUCUGUGUCUUAUCGAGUUAAAUCUUAAAUGUUCUAAGGCCCAAAUCUUAGCAUCACAUUUAUUUUCUAAUUUGUAUCCUUAAUAACUGAAGAUAUACUUUACAGUGUAAUUUUAUACUCUCAAAUAAUAAAGUCUAUAGCUAAUUCCUAAUAUUUAUUUUUUUAAUUCAUUUAAUUUAAUACCGAGUGUAUGCAUUACGUUGUAAAAUUCAUACCCUGAAUAUUAAUUAAACAAAUUAAUUUUAGUGAUAUUUUUGAAAUUUUGGUCAAAUCCUAAUAGAUAAUCAUAAUCUGGUUAUGAUAUCCAUUUUUUAUUUUUAAAACAUGAUAAAAAUGCAAUUUUUUUAAUAAAAUAUGCAUGGAAAUGUUUUUGAAUUUGGUUGUAUACACACAAAUAAAAAAACAUAUAUUUUUUUAAAUAAUGAAUUUUGGAUUUCUUUUUUGAGUUAAAAUGAAAACAUGAUUUUUUUAAGAGAUACUUGGCCAUACUAAAAAAAACAAAUUGAUAAUUUUUGUCCUAACAGCUCAAUCAAUCCUAAAUCAUCAUCGAACAUUCCCAAAACCAUAUGCACAAUGAAUAUUUUAUCCCAGAAACUAACAAUUUAUCAAAUAAAUGGUUUGGGGUGGAAUCGACCUUCCAAGGUUGUUGUGGUUGUCUAGGAACCAUUGGAAACCUUCCAAGGCUGCUAGGUAUUCUUGGCAGCGCGUGGAACCACGCACCACCACUGCCAAAACAUGGAAACAUGCGCUGUUUCUGGUAAAGGAGGAGCACCUAGUGAAUUUAAAACUCCUUUAUCUCCUCUUUGAUUCCUCACUAACGGUGCAACAAACAGACACCUGUAGACGGAGCUCCGCUCUAUUAAAGUUUCAGUCUUCUUCUUGUUUUUCAGUCCAGAUCUGUCCCUUCUCUCUAUUGCUGUGUUUUAAUGAUGAUACUAGCGGGAGAUAAUUUUAAAAUGUUUGAAACUACUAUAUACCCUCUUUGACACCCCACUAGCAUAUCCACAAACAGAUCUCUGUAAAGGAAGCUCUGCUACGUUGAAGUUCAAUGUAUGCUCUUGUUUUUCAGCCUAGGUAUGUCUUUUCUCCCCUACUAAUGCAUUUUAGUGAUGCUACUAGUAGGAGAAAGUUUUACAACGUCUGAAACUACUACAUCCUUUCUUAGAUUCCCCACUAGUAGUGUCAUAAAUAGAUCUCUGUAGAGUAGUGUCAUAAAUAGAUCUUUGUAGAGGGAAUUCUGCUAUGUUGAAUUUUGAUGUCUACUCUUAUUUUUUCUUCACAGUUGGUUGCUACUUCCACUGCUUGUAAGGGCUGUUUUGAGAUGAUUUUAGGGUUGUCUUGGGGUGACUUGGAAAUGGAAUAUUCUGGUAUGGAAAAUGGUUGCUUAAAUGGUGUUUUAGUGGUUAAGGCUUUAUAUGAUUUGGGGUCUGUUUUAAGGUGUUUUGAUUGGAGUUUUCAUGUCUGGGAGGUCUGUUAAGGGAGUGUUCAUCUCUGUCCAGGCUGCUUGGGUUAAGGUUUUGUGUUGCUUUUAUAGGAUCAAUGGGGAGGCUCUGGGACUUAUGAAUUAAUGAAAUAUCGACCCUUAAUGUUGGAGAAUAUGUCUCAUUCUGAAGCUAAGGAUAAAUGUUUGUCCUGCUGUGCAACUCAAAAAAGGAGGACCGAGGCUAUUUUUGCAGUCAAGACAGUGUUGGGUCUGUUUUUGAGAGAGAAUCUGGAGUUGUUUAUAGUGACUUUAAAGCUGGAAUUUUGGCUAAGAGUGAAGUACAAAUAAUACCAGGGUAUAAGUUGACAUAAACUUUGUCUGGUAUGGUGUGUGAGGACAGUAAGAUUUACACAGAACAGGAAUAGAGUUGAAGAAAAGCAGAGAGUGAUUCUGUUAAAUAGAGAAGAAGAAGAAGAACAACUUUAGCACUAAUUCUUUUAUUAAUUGAUUACAGUUCUCUUAUCUGACAUAUGUUUAUAUAUGUUAUCGUAGAAAGGUUAUCUAUUCUCUCUUUAUUUGCACUGAAACAAUGCUAACUAAUUCUCUUAACCGACAAACAAUACUAACAGCAUUCUAACAAUAUCAUUCUCUAAUCUUUUGACACUUUGGAGGAUUAGAGUCUUUGAUAUCUUUACAUGGUGAAGGAGUGGGAUAAAAAUUAGAGCUGAAAAGCGAGAACUCGAUCAUCUUUUUCUCUUGUUUUAAUAGGAAGAAAACAAUGAAUAGUGAAAUUAUAUUAUUUUUUUAAUUUGGUCCCUAAGCCUUUAGAACUUUCCAGUGGAACUCCCAAUCAGCCCUAAUUUUUUAGAUUCCUUACAAUUCCACCCUUGACCUUAUUUGAUUGAACCCUUAAAUUUAUGCUCUUUUUAUAAAGUGAUCCUUGAUUUUGAAACUCUUCAAUUUUACCCUCAAUUGACCUUCAAACUUCUAAUUUCUUGCAAUUUUAUCCCUGAUCUCAUCCAAUUAAGCUUGGAAAAAUUAAACUAUCUCUAAUACAAUUUUAAAGUGAAUUUUUGUGUUUCCAAUACAGGAGUCGGUUCUUGUUCGCAAUAACAUCGUUAAUCUUCCGAGCUUCCUUCCUGGGGCUGCUCUUCCCUACAUAGAGCAUUUCUAACUGUAUUCUGGCAUCUUUCGCAACUGCUUUUGCAGUCGCAGUGAAUUUACGGAUCCACUCGAUAUCCUCCCUACCAUACAAGCAUAUGAACUUCCCUUGCUCUAUCUGCAUUAGGAAUUAAUUAGUUGAAAACUUCAUGAGUAAUGUGUGUAUGAGAUUCCUAUGCACCUUUCAGCUUGUUGUUUAGUUUAUAAACCCGUUUCAAGUUUGGAAAUUUGAAUUCCUCUGCUGUCAAAUGUAUGCAUUAGAUGAUGUCGAUAGAGAAUUGAGAUGAAGAGUGUUGGGGUUGACUACUUUCCCUUGUGGGUCCAAGACCUCUCCAGGCUAUCCCUAUCGAAGUGUGAACUUACUCUGCAUUCGGCAAGGCUACCAUGGCCAUUUGGAGAGCUACAAACCUGCACAAGGAUGUAUAUUUAACCAUAAUAAUCGUUAGAAAAUGUUGGGUGGAAUUGAUAUUGUUAAUGUCAUCUAUCCCUUUUACAAUUGUCAAUGGCAUUGAUUAGGUAAAUUCUUCCGUGCCUUGUCAAAAUAAGACAUUGAAAAUUGACGAAAAUCGUGGAACAUAUGGCUACUUUUCAUGAAUAUCACGUGGCUUGGAUUGUCGAUGAAGACCAGCAGGAAGCAACAAGGUAGAAGGACUCAGCAUUUGAGGCCAACUUCCACUCUUCCAUUAAACUUGUGGGCACAAAUCAGCAACAGGAACAUGAUAUUGUCAGAGUUCUAAUCAGAUUGAUAGAGUUCCUUUACUGUUUUAAGAAAAAUAGGAAAACAGGAAGUGGGCCAAGAGGAUACCUGCUUUGCUUAGGCCUUAGGACUUGCCUUGUGUUAACAGUCGGCAAAGGACACCAUUCACGUUCUUAACUGUUGUUGUCGUUGAUAUCCUGCCAACAGCAAUCAUCUUUAUUUUUAGAUUUAAUUCAUUAUUUAUAAUGACUAAUAAAAAAGUGGAAGUUGCUUUAAACUUGGGCUUGAUUCAUUAAGAAUUAUAGCCCAUUAUUUUAUCUACAAUGAUGAGAAUUAAUUUUGAUUAUUAUCAAAAUUAGUUUUUCAAUUUUUUAUCUUCAAAAAUUCAUUAUAAAAAUAGAGGUGAAGGAAAAGUCUUGAACAAGUUCUUUUUUUUAAUUUUUACAUUUUUUUUCAUCUUAUUUUUAGUGUUUUUCUUCUUUUUUCAUGCUUUGGAUAUCAUCCCAAAUCUACACCUAACGUUUACUUUGUUGAGAUAUAAUUGAGUCAUUUUACUUUUAUUAAAAGAUAUUAUUUAAAAGUGCAUCUAAAUUAAAGUGAUGUUAUUGAAAUCUUAGAAGACAUAUUGUAAAUAUUUUAGUUCUAUAGAGUGAGUAUCAAUUAAUUUUAAAGACAAAUAAUUCAUCUUUAACAACAACAAAAAUUUUAUUAUUUUAAAAUGCUUCAAUAAGUAAAAAAAAAUUUAUGUUUAAUUUAAAAAUAAAUAUUUUUAUUAUUGGAAUGCAUAUAAGGACUUUAAUUUGAUAUUAAUUAUAAAUUUGAAUAUAUAUUUAGUAUGCAUACUAAAAUUUUAUUAUUAUAUUUCUGUUGAAAUUUAUCAUAAAUUUUUAUUUUAUAUAAUUAUGAUUUUAAACUUGUAUAAAUUCUGGGUUUUUUUUAAAUGUUUUGAAUUCCCUUUUAAUACAUUUAAAAAUUUUAAAAACAAUUAGAAAAGGAGAGACUUGACUCUGUUGAAAAAAUAAAAGAAAAGAGAAGGGACAGAUUUUUCCGGGUUCUGCUUGUCAAUUAAUUGGGGUAAUGUGCAAGUUCACCCCCGACAGCCUUUUCUGGAAAACAAAUUGAUUCGUUUGGGUGGUACACGGUGUGUGUGCAUGAAAGAAAGCAUCUCUGAUAUGAAAGUGUUUUUUAAGUAUCAUAAUUUUUUUAAUUAAAAAACAAAACGAUAUUCUUUAUGAUUAAUCAAAUAACAUUAAAAAAAAUAAAUGAAAGCCAUGCUAAGCUAGAUUUAAGAUUUCAAGUUAAUUUCUAACUCAAUAAAAUGAAGUGACUAUGCUAUAAAUAUGUUUUCAAGCAUCAUAAUUCUUUUUAGUUGACAAAUAAAAAAAUAUUGCUUAUGCUUGAUAAAAUAAAUUAAAAAUAAAUAAAAAAGGUGAUAAAGCUAUUUUCUUUAGUAAAAACAAAAGAUAAAUGUAAAUAUAAAUAUAAAUGUUUUAUUUUACAUGUUUUGAUUUAUUUUAUGUUAGAGGCUAAUUCAUGUUGUUAAUAAAAGAAAACAGAUUUUGAUUUUAUAAUUACGAUAUUAAAAUAUAACUCAUUUAUAUAAAAUAUAAGAGGAAAAAAAUUAGAAAUAAAAUAUAAUAAUUUCUUUAAAGCAUUAUGAAAUUAAAAAAAAUCAUUUUAAAAUAUCAGUAACUAUUAAAAAAAAGAGUUAAGAAAAACAAUUUAAAAAAUAAAAGAGAGGGUAUUAAUCAAUAUUUAAGUAGAAAAAAUUAAUGAAAAGAAAAGGAAAAGAAAGAGAGGCAGCCCCACGCACAUGACUGACCAAUAAAGAGCCCAAACACAUCUACGCCUGGAAGGCCAAGCUUGCUGAUACAGGCGGUAGCACGAUAAGAAUAGCAGCAAGCACCAAAAAAGAGAGUUAGCUGAAGUAGGGUUAAAACAAAAAGAACCAUAAAAUCUUAUUUUUAUUUCCAAAAUAUUAAUCUGAUAAGUUCUUUCCUCCAUUAUAAAAGGUUUGCAAGUCUUUACAUAAGCCUAAAACUGCAAUAAAAAGGUAGAAAGAAUCAGAAUCUUAAUCAUCUUUUCCCAACCCCUCGUCUUCUUCAUCUUUUCUUAAUCAUUGAUUCUCAACUUUUAUUAUAUCUUACAUGUCCUCUUUAAUUGUUCCCAUCAAGGAGAAGCUCGAUCCUUCAAUGUAAUCACAAUUAAUUUUAUUCACAUCUGUUCGGAACCUCUUUGUAUUAAAAAAAAUUGUUCCAUCUCAUUCAAUAAAUUUAUGAACUCUACUGCUUAUAAAGUUCUAUCAAAUUCAGAGAUUUUAAUAUAAAUAUUCAGAAAUCUCUAGUUCCUUUCAAGAUCAAAAGGUUGUUUCCUAUACUCUUGCAAUUGGAAUGGGUUUAUGAUACUACAUAAGGAUUCAUGGUCACUUUCUUCAUGUCCUUGUUUCUAUAUGUCUCUUUGUUUUAACUAACAAGUUAAUUCUAAAAUCUAUCUCUACAUGUCUUCUAUCAUGAGCUUCUAAACUUCUCCCGAGAAGAACCUUUUAAUCCCUUCCUAUCAGACCAUGUCUCACUCUUCGUCGUCUUCCCAUUAUGGUUGUUUAGCAGCAUAUAUUAAGCAAAAAUGACCUAAGAUUGCAACAUAUAGCAAACAAUAACCUAGAAUCAUUGGGCUAUAAUACCAACUAAUGCAGGCAAAAGCACGACAAGGAUAACAACAAGCAUAUAAAAUAGAAAAUUGGUUGAAAUAGGGUUAAAACACAAAUAACCCUAAAAUCCUUUUUUUAUAUUUCUAAAAUAUUAAUUUGAUGGUUUAUGCCUCUUUAGGAGGCUUACAUGUCUUUAUACUGGCCAAAAACUGACCUUAAUAAGGUAGAGAAAAUCAAAAUCCUGAAAUAAAAAAAUAAAGAUAGCUAAUAAAUAUAACAUUUAGAAAAAAAAUAGCAAAACUGAAUAAAAACAAAAUCUUUAAAGCCUAAUUUGAGGAAAAUUGUGUAGUGGAUGAACCGAUAAAAAUUUGAGCAUGAUCCAAUAGUAGGAUCAAAAGAUAUGAUCUCUUUUAGCCACUAUACCAGUAUGGCAUGACCAAACCUCCUCUUGAGCCACUGAUCUUUAAAAGCAUUUGUUAAGCCAUACAUAUAGUUUGUUUAUGAAAAAUACCUACCUAGUUAUGACAAGUCUCCAUAAGACUACUCAGAACCCUUAGUUUUUGCUAGUCCAGCUACAUCUCCCAUGUUUGGAAUAUUUGUUUUGGAGUUUUCCACUUUACUUUUUUCUUUCUUUCUAAACAAGCGACUGGUUAUCUACUGGACUGUUUUCCAAUCACCUUUGGUCAUCACAAAAACAUGGUUCGAGUUUUUUACCCAUCCAAACCUAUUUUCCUCCUCAUUUUCACUUGAAAACACUAUAAAAGUUUAAUAAACUCAUUAGAACCCCAAAAACUCUCCAAUCAGUUCAAAAAAGUAAAAAUCAACUUAAUAAAAAAGAAUUAAUAGACUCUUUUUUUGGAAUGGUUUUAGAAAAACAUUACUUUCAUUAAACUUUUCUCGAUAAUAUGAACUCAGCCUUUUUAGUAGCCAAAAUAUUUUUAACCACGCACUUUCUCUCUCCUAGAUUUUUUUUUAUAACCUUUUCUCUUCUCUCUCUAUAUCCAUGAACCAAAACAUGAAAAAAAAAAUGAAGUUUGGCAUCGAAACAUGAAUCACAAAAAUAAUAGGGAUAAGAAGAUAAAAAAAAACUUCAGGGAUUAAAUUGAAAGUUUUCAUGCAAAGAUCUAAAUGGGGCAUGUCUUAUUGUUCUUUGUCAAAUGUUAUCUUUUUUUUAAUUCCUAUCUAAAACCUGGAAUAAAAUGUGAUUUUACAAAACCAACAACCAACAAAUCUUCGAAUACUGGAGAACAAAAAAAAUGUAAAAAAAAUGGUAACAUAACCUAUGAGGAUUGAAUUGUAAGUUUCAAAAGCUUGAUCAACAAAAAAAAAACUCGAUUGUUCAAAUGAACAGGCGAGUCCACAAUGCAUUGCAUUGUGAGGUGUGCUAAUACACACACACUCUUCUUUCCCUCAAUUGGCUUUGGAACAUUGAAAUGAUAUGCUUCAAUUUUCUACCAAUAAUUCACUUUGUAUGGACAAUCUAUUCGAGGAUUAAUCGUAUUAUUUGGACUAAUUACUCUUAAUUAAUGUGUUCUGCGAUGUUUUUUUCCUGAUUUGUCUCUCUAUUAAAAAAUAAUUAUUUCCAUAAAGCCUUCGGCCUAGUCUUUUGGGAUUACCUAGAAGAUAUCAUGGGUUAUAUAGGGUUUGGCAGAAAAUGGAGAAGCAUGAUUUAUGAACGUCUUUCUUCAUCCAAACUCUCUGUUCUCAUCAAUGGAUCUCCUUCAAAAGAAUUCCUUGUUCGGCGAGGGUUGCGUCAAGGAGAUCCGAUUUCCCCCUUUCUGUUUGACAUAGUUGCUUAGGGCCUCUCGGUCCUUUUUCAAAAGGCAUCUAGGGGGAACAUUCUCAAAGGGUUGCAGUUCGUAUCAGAAAUUUUCCUCAUCCACUUGUAAUAUGCAGAUGACACGCUAAUAUUCAUCCCGGCAGAUAUUGAUCAGUUAGUUCAAGUCAAAAGAAUUCUCAGAUUGUUUGCUCUGAGUUCAGGCUUAUCAAUGUCGUUGAUCACUUGUGCUUGUGUUUGGGUACGUCUAUUUUUUGCAGAUCAGACUCCCUUCCAAGCAAAUAUCUCUGCAUGCCACUAAGAGCCAAUCUAUCUCGUAUAUCCACAUGGAAGCCAGUGAUAGAGAAGUUUUGUAAAAGGCUUCAUGUGUGGAAAGAGAGAUUAUUAAGCAUGGUUGGACGUCUUUGUCUCAUUAAAAGUGUCCUUAAGUCCCUGCCUAUAUAUUUUAUGUUUGUAUUCAAGAUGCUGAAAAGGGUAGGCAGGCUUUUUUUAUCCAUCCAAAGACGUUUCUUGUGGUGCGGAUGUACCAAGCAGAGAUCUUUCUGCAAGAUCCAAUGGAGACUAGUGAUGCGCAAUAAGAAACAAGGAGGCCUCGGUGUAGGCUCUUUUAUAUCAAAAAACAGAGUCCUGCAGCUAAAAUGGAUUUGGAGACUCUCUUCCCUAGGUAUAAGUUUAUGAAAAAUGAUUAUCUCUUUGAUGUACAAUCCAGCUUAUAAGAAUGGGAUCUUGAUUUUCUGCAACUAACCCUCCAAGAUCUGGAAGGAUAUCAUGUCCAUUGUUCAAACCGAUGUUCUCCACGUCUUCAUGAAUCAUUGCAAAUUCAUGGUGGGGAAUGGCAGUUUAACAUCCUUUUGGUUAGACAACUAGAUUAGUAACUACCCUCUUAAAACAACCUUCCCCAGGCUUUAUCUUUUGCUUCCUCUAAAUCUGCUUUGGUGGCUGACAUGGGUAGAUAAAGCAAUAGAAUCUGGCUCUAGUCCCUGCAAUGGCGCAAACCUCUAUUUCAUUUUGAACAAGAAUAAUUAUCACUUCUAUCAUCCUUGCUGGAUUCCAAACCUUUGUUCUACCGUAAGCUGGAUAAGAAAAUCCGGACUCUCAACAACGAUGGCCUCUUCAGUGUAAAAUCUUACUCCAAAAUGAUGGACUAGCUGCUCUACGGUGGUGCCAAACCAUUCCAAUCUUCUGUUUAGAUAAAGUUAACCCCACUAAAAAUACAACUUUUCCUUUAGCUCCUUGUCUAAGACAAAGUAACCACAAGAGAUUUUCUAUUUCAGCAUGACUACCUCACCUUUCAGAAAUCAAGAUGCGCUUUUCGCAAUAAAAGCAUGAAUCUCCUAGUCACCUCUUCAUUCAUUUACCACUUCACUUGGAAUAUUCCAACCAUAAAUUAAAAAAAAAUCAAUCAAGCUGGAGAAGUUUUUUAUUAACUAAGAGAGUUGAAAUAACAUUUGAUCAAGUACCUAAGAGAAAAUAAUGGAUGAAUAAAUUUUAAACAUGCGUGGAUAAUUAAAAGAGACAGUUUUAUUCAAAACGAAAAAUCAUAUGAUAUCAUAGAAGUUUAGUUUAUUUUUUUAAUAAUGGUAAAUGUUUUCUUAAAAACGUGAAGAACAUUUAUACUGAUGCAGAAACGUGAAGAGCAUGUAUAUUGAUAUGCAUGCCUCUGCCUGCAUUGGAGGCGGAUUCCAUUGCUAAUUGUUUCCCUAAGGAAGGGUAGACGUGUCAUUUCAUCCAAGGAUCCGGUCGAUAUUAGUGAUAGUACAUAUUCAAUAUUGAUCGAUGAUUUCACAGCUUGGUCUGGUAAUUAUUUUUUGUCCAGAGAAGUUCAUUAUCUCAUGUUAUGUUCACAUGGUUUCAAGCUUAAAAUUUGUUUUGGUUCACGUGCUACAUCCUAUUUAUUUCUGAUGUCAAAAAAUUAAUUUAAUUAAAAAUUAAGAAUCAAAUUUAAUUUAAAAGAAAAAAAUAGAAUGAAUUUUUUCAAAAACUAUAAUGAAAACGUGCUUUUUUUAAUGAAAAGUAUUAUGUUUAAAAUAAAAAUUUAUUAUGAUUGUGAAAGCUAGUUUGAUUUUAAAAAAAUUGAAUAUAUUAUUUUUACUACCUAUAUGAAAAAGAUUUAAGAACAAUAAAUCUAAGAAAAUAAAAAAAAUAAAAAAAAAUAAUUAUUUUAUCCUUAUUAAAUAUCAACGAGUAAAUUAUUUUAAAAAUAUUUCAUAUAGGAUAAUACAUAAUUAUUUAUAAAGCAAUUGACAAUAUCAUCAUAGAAAAAACCCUAAUCUUCUUUAAAACAAUGACAAAAUUGGAUAACCAUUUAAAUGUUAUAUUAAUAAAUUGAUUUAAAGAGAUUUUUUUAUUAAAAAUAGAAAAAAAUAAAAUACAUUAUUCUUAUUAUUAUUAUUAUGAUUAUUAGUGUUAUUCUUAUUCUUAAUAUUGUUAUUAAUUUUAUUAUUAUUAAAUUUGAAAAAAAAAAUAUUACUAUUGAAAAAAAAACCAUAAUUUUAAUAAGAACUUGAGUCAUGCAAAUUUAAUAUUAUUAUUAUUAUUAUUAUUAUUAUUAUUAUUAUUAUUAUUAGGGGAACCAGACCUCAGAAACUAGAGUCUCUGGCUGGGGCACCAGACCCAAGUUUAUAAUCAUUAGUAUUAUUCUUAUUAUUCUUAUUGUUAUUAUUAUUGUUAUCAUUAUCAUUAUCAUUAAUAAUAUUUUUUAAAAAAAUAUUAUUAUUAUUGAAGAAAAACCAUAAAUUUGAUUUCAAUAAAUAAAAAAUUAUAAAAACUUGAGUCAGACAAGUUUAAUAUUAUUAUUAAUAUUAUAAAUAUUAUUAUUUAUAUUAUAAAUAUUACUAUUGGUAUUAUAAUUAAUAUUAUAAAUAUUACUCUUGGAUAAGACGUUGCAGCCAAACUCAAGGCUCUUAGGUUUAGCUUUGCAAAUAGACUUAACGCUCUUGAAUAUUAAUGUUCUUUUAUAUUUUUUAUGGUAAAAAAAAUUAACCCGCUGUGUAGCGCAGGUCACCCACACUAGUGGAUUUCUAUAAGAGGUCAAACUCACACGCUAUUAUUUGUCCAAUAUUUUUUUGACUUUUCAACUACCUCUGAAUGGUUGAAAAGUCGUUGUAUAAAUUUUUUGAAUUUUAAAAUUUUAAUUUUGAAUUUAUAUUUACCUCAAAAACAUCCUAAAGUUUUUAAUAAAUCCAUUUCAAACUCAAAAUAAAAAAACCUAUAUAUGCAUGCCUCUAGCACAUUGUAGAGAGUAGAUAAAGAGAGGCCAUAAGAAAAUAUCAACCAAUGGAGUACCUUUUUUUUGUGCUACUAAUUUCUUUUACUUGGGCAUGUCUACACGUGCCCAUCGCAUCCAUUCUACUUCGCCGGAAGUCCGGUUGCACCGUCCUCCCACCUGGCCCUCGCCAAUUGCCGAUAAUUGGAAACAUAUUAGCCCUCGGUGACAAGCCCCACCGAACACUUGCUAACCUCUCACAAACUUAUGGACCUUUAAUGACCCUCAAGCUUGGUAGGAUAACCACAAUAGUCAUCUCCUCUCCGAAUAUUGCCAAAGAAGCAUUACAGAAACAUGACCAAGCCUUGU